GAUGAACGCUGGCGGCGUGCCUAAUACAUGCAAGUCGAACGAAACUUCUUUAUCACCGAGUGCUUGCACUCACCGAUAAAGAGUUGAGUGGCGAACGGGUGAGUAACACGUGGGCAACCUGCCCAAAAGAGGGGGAUAACACUUGGAAACAGGUGCUAAUACCGCAUAACCAUAGUUACCGCAUGGUAACUAUGUAAAAGGUGGCUAUACUACCGCUUUUGGAUGGGCCCGCGGCGCAUUAGCUAGUUGGUAGGGUAAAGGCUUACCAAGGCAAUGAUGCGUAGCCGAAUUGAGAGGUUGAUCGGCCACAUUGGGACUGAGACACGGCCCAAACUCCUACGGGAGGCGGCAGUAGGGAAUCUUCCACAAUGGGCGAAAGCCUGAUGGAGCAACGCCGCGUGGGUGAAGAAGGUCUUCGGAUCGUAAAACCCUGUUGUUAGAGAAGAAAGUGCGUGAGAGUAACUGUUCACGUUUCGACGGUAUCUAACCAGAAAGCCACUGCUAACUACGUG
rnacentral:rRNA from 1 species